GAUGAACGCUGGCGGCGUGCCUAAUACAUGCAAGUCGAGCGAACAGACGAGGAGCUUGCUCCUCUGACGUUAGCGGCGGACGGGUGAGUAACACGUGGAUAACCUACCUAUAAGACUGGGAUAACUUCGGGAAACCGGAGCUAAUACCGGAUAAUAUAUUGAACCGCAUGGUUCAAUAGUGAAAGACGGUUUUGCUGUCACUUAUAGAUGGAUCCGCGCCGCAUUAGCUAGUUGGUAAGGUAACGGCUUACCAAGGCAACGAUGCGUAGCCGACCUGAGAGGGUGAUCGGCCACCCUGGAACUGAGACACGGUCCAGACUCCUACGGGAGGCAGCAGUAGGCAAUCUUCCGCAAUGGGCGAAAGCCUGACGGAGUAACGCCGCGUGAGUGAUGACGGUCUUCGGAUCGUAAAACUCUGUUAUUAGGGAAGAACAAAUGUGUAAGUAACUAUGCACGUCUUGACGGUACCUAAUCAGAAAGCCACGGCUAACUACGUG
rnacentral:rRNA from 1 species